rnacentral:RNase_P_RNA from 1 species
CAGGUGGUCCGGGCGGCCGCGUCGGCCGAGGCGUCAGGCACUGACGGCUCGGUCGCCGAGGAAAGUCCGGGCUCCGCAGGGCAGGGUGGUUGCUAACGGCAACCCGGCGUAAGCCGCGGGACAGUGCCACAGAGAACAGACCGCCACCGCUGUGCGGUGGUGAGGGUGAAACGGUGGUGUAAGAGACCACCAGCGCCGCGGGUGACCGCGGCGGCUAGGUAAACCCCACCCGGAGCAAGGUCACGAGCAGCCGGCUGGUCCGGUUGUGCGCGAACGUUUGAGGGCGGCCCGCCCGAGUUCGCGGGUAGACCGCUGGAGCACGUCGGCAACGGCGUGCCGAGAUGGAUGGUCGCCGCUGGCUUCGGCCAGCACAGAACCCGGCUUACAGGGCCACCUGAUCC